rnacentral:rRNA from 1 species
ACGACUCUCGGCAACGGAUAUCUCGGCCCUUGCAUCGAUGAAGAACGUAGCAAGAUGCGAUACUUGGUGUGAAUUGCAGAAUCCCGCGAACCAUCGAGUCUUUGAACGCAAGUUGCGCCCGAAGCCAUUCGGCCGAGGGCACGUCUGCCUGGGUGUCGAA